rnacentral:rRNA from 1 species
UACGGAGGGUGCGAGCGUUGUCCGGAAUCAUUGGGCGUAAAGGGCGCGUAGGUGGCCCCUCAAGCGUGCGGUGAAAGUCAGGGGCUCAACCCCUGAUCGGCCGUGCGAACUGGGGAGCUUGAGCACUGUAGAGGCAGGCGGAAUUCCGGGUGUAGCGGUGGAAUGCGUAGAGAUCCGGAAGAACACCGGUGGCGAAGGCGGUGAGCUGGGCAGUUGCUGACACUGAGGCGCGACAGCGUGGGGGGCAAACAGG